ACGCUCGACACCUACGGGAGGUAGCAGUGGGGAAUAUUGCACAAUGGGGGAAACCCGUGAUGCAGCGACGCCGCGUGAGCGAAGAAGUAUUUCGGUAUGUAAAGCUCUAUCAGCAGGGAAGAAACUGACGGUACCUGACUAAGAAGCACCGGCUAAAUACGUGCCAGAAGCCGCGGUAAUCUGAGCGGGCUGGCAAGGC
rnacentral:rRNA from 1 species